AUAACAGCGAGGAGAGCUACCUGCAGUCGAGCGGUAGGCCUUCGGGGUACACGAGCGGCGAACGGGUGAGUAACACGUGGGUGAUCUGCCCUGCACUUCGGGAUAAGCCUGGGAAACUGGGUCUAAUACCGGAUAUGACCAAAGGCUGCAUGGCUUUUGGUGGAAAGGUUUACUGGUGCAGGAUGGGCCCGCGGCCUAUCAGCUUGUUGGUGGGGUAAUGGCCUACCAAGGCGACGACGGGUAGCCGACCUGAGAGGGUGACCGGCCACACUGGGACUGAGACACGGCCCAGACUCCUACGGGAGGCAGCAGUGGGGAAUAUUGCACAAUGGGCGAAAGCCUGAUGCAGCGACGCCGCGUGAGGGAUGAAGGCCUUCGGGUUGUAAACCUCUUUCAGCAGGGACGAAGCGAAAGUGACGGUACCUGCAGAAGAAGCACCGGCUAACUACGUGCCAGCAGCCGCGGUAAUACGUAGGGUGCGAGCGUUGUCCGGAAUUACUGGGCGUAAAGAGUUCGUAGGCGGUUUGUCACGUCGUCUGUGAAAACCCACCGCUCAACGGUGGGCCUGCAGGCGAUACGGGCAGACUUGAGUACUGCAGGGGAGACUGGAAUUCCUGGUGUAGCGGUGAAAUGCGCAGAUAUCAGGAGGAACACCGGUGGCGAAGGCGGGUCUCUGGGCAGUAACUGACGCUGAGGAACGAAAGCGUGGGUAGCAAACAGGAUUAGAUACCCUGGUAGUCCACGCCGUAAACGGUGGGCGCUAGAUGUGGGUCCCUUCCACGGGAUCUGUGUCGUAGCUAACGCAUUAAGCGCCCCGCCUGGGGAGUACGGCCGCAAGGC
rnacentral:rRNA from 1 species